rnacentral:rRNA from 1 species
CCGGCUUACCAACCCGAUGCAAACUGCGAAUACCGGAGAAUGUUAUCACGGGAGACACACGGCGGGUGCUAACGUCCGUCGUGAAGAGGGAAACAACCCAGACCGCCAGCUAAGGUCCCAAAGUCAUGGUUAAGUGGGAAACGAUGUGGGAAGGCCCAGACAGCCAGGAUGUUGGCUUAGAAGCAGCCAUCAUUUAAAGAAAGCGUAAUAGCUCACUGGUCGAGUCGGCCUGCGCGGAAGAUGUAACGGGGCUAAACCAUGCACCGAAGCUGCGGCAGCGACACUGUGUGUUGUUGGGUAGGGGAGCGUUCUGUAAGCCUGUGAAGGUGUGUCGUGAGGCAUGCUGGAGGUAUCAGAAGUGCGAAUGCUGACAUAAGUAACGAUAAAGCGGGUGAAAAGCCCGCUCGCCGGAAGACCAAGGGUUCCUGUCCAACGUUAAUCGGGGCAGGGUGAGUCGACCCCUAAGGCGAGGCCGAAAGGCGUAGUCGAUGGGAAACGGGUUAAUAUUCCCGUACUUGGUGUUACUGCGAAGGGGGGACGGAGAAGGCUAUGUUGGCCGGGCGACGGUUGUCCCGGUUUAAGCGUGUAGGUGUGUGUUCCAGGUAAAUCCGGUUCACUUUAACACUGAGGCGUGACGACGAGGCACUACGGUGCUGAAGCAACAAAUGCCCUGCUUCCAGGAAAAGCCUCUAAGCAUCAGGUAACAUCAAAUCGUACCCCAAACCGACACAGGUGGUCAGGUAGAGAAUACCAAGGCGCUUGAGAGAACUCGGGUGAAGGAACUAGGCAAAAUGGUGCCGUAACUUCGGGAGAAGGCACGCUGACACGUAGGUGAAGUGAUUUACUCAUGGAGCUGAAGUCAGUCGAAGAUACCAGCUGGCUGCAACUGUUUAUUAAAAACACAGCACUGUGCAAACACGAAAGUGGACGUAUACGGUGUGACGCCUGCCCGGUGCCGGAAGGUUAAUUGAUGGGGUCAGCGCAAGCGAAGCUCCUGAUCGAAGCCCCGGUAAACGGCGGCCGUAACUAUAACGGUCCUAAGGUAGCGAAAUUCCUUGUCGGGUAAGUUCCGACCUGCACGAAUGGCGUAAUGAUGGCCAGGCUGUCUCCACCCGAGACUCAGUGAAAUUGAACUCGCUGUGAAGAUGCAGUGUACCCGCGGCAAGACGGAAAGACCCCGUGAACCUUUACUAUAGCUUGACACUGAACAUUGAGCCUUGAUGUGUAGGAUAGGUGGGAGGCUUUGAAGUGUGGACGCCAGUCUGCAUGGAGCCGACCUUGAAAUACCACCCUUUAAUGUUUGAUGUUCUAACGUGGACCCGUUACCCGGGUUGCGGACAGUGUCUGGUGGGUAGUUUGACUGGGGCGGUCUCCUCCUAAAGAGUAACGGAGGAGCACGAAGGUUGGCUAAUCCUGGUCGGACAUCAGGAGGUUAGUGCAAUGGCAUAAGCCAGCUUGACUGCGAGCGUGACGGCGCGAGCAGGUGCGAAAGCAGGUCAUAGUGAUCCGGUGGUUCUGAAUGGAAGGGCCAUCGCUCAACGGAUAAAAGGUACUCCGGGGAUAACAGGCUGAUACCGCCCAAGAGUUCAUAUCGACGGCGGUGUUUGGCACCUCGAUGUCGGCUCAUCACAUCCUGGGGCUGAAGUAGGUCCCAAGGGUAUGGCUGUUCGCCAUUUAAAGUGGUACGCGAGCUGGGUUUAGAACGUCGUGAGACAGUUCGGUCCCUAUCUGCCGUGGGCGCUGGAGAACUGAGGGGGGCUGCUCCUAGUACGAGAGGACCGGAGUGGACGCAUCACUGGUGUUCGGGUUGUCAUGCCAAUGGCACUGCCCGGUAGCUAAAUGCGGAAGAGAUAAGUGCUGAAAGCAUCUAAGCACGAAACUUGCCCCGAGAUGAGUUCUCCCUGAGACUUUAGGUCUCCUGAAGGAACGUUGAAGACGACGACGUUGAUAGGCCGGGUGUGUAAGCGCAGCGAUGCGUUGAGCUAACCGGUACUAAUGAACCGUGAGGCUUAACCUUACAACGCCGAAG